UUCCAGACUCCUACGGGAGGCAGCAGUGAGGAAUAUUGGUCAAUGGACGAGAGUCUGAACCAGCCAAGUAGCGUGAAGGAUGACUGCCCUAUGGGUUGUAAACUUCUUUUAUAUGGGAAUAAAAUGUUCCACGUGUGGGAUUUUGUAUGUACCAUAUGAAUAAGGAUCGGCUAACUCCGUGCCAGCAGCCGCGGUAAUACGGAGGAUCCGAGCGUUAUCCGGAUUUAUUGGGUUUAAAGGGUGCGCAGGCGGAGGUGCAAGUCAGCGGUCAAAUUGCGGGGCUCAACCCCGUACUGCCGUUGAAACUGCAUCCCUUGAGUGCGCGAGAAGUAUGCGGAAUGCGUGGUGUAGCGGUGAAAUGCAUAGAUAUCACGCAGAACUCCGAUUGCGAAGGCAGCAUGCCGGCUCCACACUGACGCUGAGGCACGAAAGCGUGGGUAUCGAACAGGAUUAGAUACCCCAGUAAA
rnacentral:rRNA from 1 species